rnacentral:lncRNA from 1 species
GUGGGUCUUGAGAGACUGAAGUCUUUGAUGAUUGGCUCAGGGAUGGAUACAUAAACCAACCAGAGCCAAUGGGAUGUGAGGCAUGAAGCUUCUGCAGUCCUCUUGCCUAUUUCAGGACAGCUUGAGAAUAGAACAAACCUGCAGCUCACAGAAUUCACAGUUUGAUCCCCAGAUAAACCCAUAUGGGUCCACUGUCCAGGACGAAGCAUGAAGCAGCUGCCUAAAAGGACACAGAACAUUUCCUUGGAAUCAGUUUGCAUUCCCUAGGAAUUAAAGUCUUGAGGAUGUGUGAAACAGGGACCCAAAGACAUCUUGCCUGCUGGGAAGCAUGCCCAUUCCAGAGUGAAUGUUGGAAGGUAAAGUCAGCCCCUUUCAAGCACACACAGGUGCCCCUACCCCUUCAGGUGCCCUCCUUCUCCUGCCAGAAGAACAAAACCUCUCUGAGGAAUCCAUUCCAAGGGAGUUUUCACAGAAUGGAAGUUUUCUGAGGAGGACCCAACUUCAUCUAAAAGAAGAAAUAGUACAAGUUCUGAUGCGGUUCCUGUGCCAGUGUGAAUAUAUGAAACAAGAAGCCUAUCCCAGCACAUCUUCAACUAUAUUCCCUGGCACCUAAUGACUGCCUACCACAUGAACCAUCCCUGCCUCUAGAAAGGUCCUUAUUUCCCUUCCUUUCUUUCUACUCAUAUCUCAUGUUCUCAUUUCUUCCUAAUUUGGUCUCCCUAGAAAUAGACUUUUUUUGCUUUUGCACUCCAUUUUCCUUUGGUACAUUUCUCCAAGAGCAAGUUGUUUCUAGAACAACCUUUGGUCUGAGACCCAGGACUUUUUGAGAGCUAAAGGAGGGAAGAGAGUGAUGAAGAAAGGGAAAAUCGGGCUUUUCAGCAAAUCAUUCUUUACUAUCGGGCUACUAGGCUGCAGAGUAGAAGGACAUUCAGGCAAAGAGUUCACUCAGAAGUAUUUUCUGAAAGUUGAAUAUACUCUCCUUAGUCACUUCAUAAUAUCUUGUAAAAAGACGGUGGUGAAGCAAAUGCUGUAUCAGCUUUAGCCACUCUGGGUUUCACCAUUUUCCAACAAGCUGCCAUUCAGUUGUCCAUUAUCCAUUUUUAGCAAAAGGGCAGUGAACUUAUUUAAUUGCAGAAUAAAAAGUGCCUAAUUUUAUACAACCCUUUAAUCUGACUCUUCAAGUAGGAUACAGACCAGCCUCCAACAUUUAAUGUUUCCUGAAUCAAAUCUACUCUGGGGCUCACCCACCCUGAAAACAACCACCCAAGUACUAAACACCCUUCAAAUGACAUCUUGUCUAGCUGUCAGAACAGAAAAACUCAAAGCAGGCCUGAUGGUGACAGACUGUAGCAUCCCUGCCAGCGUCUGGAAACCUGGAUGCCGUCAAGUGGCAGAGCUGCGAGGCUCAAAACCAGCUCAGGGGCGAAAAACGCUGUUGGAAACCACCCAUCUCUGCCGAUGCCUAUCAAGCUGGCAAAAGAAUCAAGCUGAGAAUAAUUUUUUUCUUUUUGGCUAGCAUAUUGAAAUCUGUAAACCUCUUUCUGCAGAACAGAAGCUGUUGAGGUUUUAUUUUUUUCUGACUUGAGCCAGAGCACAUGGGAAGAGCUUGAAACCUAACUUUGCCAAGUAUCAGGGUGGGGUGAGGAGAAUUUAUCUUCACAGUGAUGUUAUUAGAAAGAAACAAAAUGGCCUGUAGGGUGACCAACUGUCCCAGUUUGCCCAGAACUGAGGAAUUCCUAGGAUGCCAGACUUUCAGUGCAAAACUGGGAUAAUUCUGGGCAAAUCAGGAUGGGUAUUUAUCCUAAGAGUGGAUUGAAGUGGCCUAAAUUACAGUGCUAAGGAGUUUAGGCCUCAUACAAAAGGGUUUCCAGGCAAGCAAAAUUUUAAGGGACCAUCUUCACCCAGGAUGAAAACCCCUGAAGCAGAUUACCCAUUCAUUUAUAUACAAAUUCUAGUGGCAGGAAAUGUUGAAUUGUUAAAAGUAGAAAUAGAAAUUCCAGCUGCCAAGUUGGCUUUCAGGCCAACUUGAAUUGACCCUUGGGAAUGUACCUACUCCUUGCUCCCAACUAUAUAGCUGCUCUCUCUGAGAGCUCUGCCCUGCCCCCAUCCCCAAUCUAAUCUCUUCACACUGCCUAUUUUGCAAGAGCAGCUCUCAGAAAGACCUGACAAGGGCUUUUCCCAUCGGAUGGCCAGUAAGCAUCUUACCAGAAGUUAAUAGCUAAUAACCUGUUUACAGAACCAACAAAGUUCAGACGUAGAAAGCACCCGAAAGAUCAUCUAGCCCGAGUUUGUCAAAGCCUGGCAUCAGGCUGACUGUGUACAAAUCACCAGAGGAUGGUUAUCAGUCAGUCUAAGCUAGGUUAGGCUGCGCUAACAAGCUCCACACCUCAGCGACAUGUAACAAGCCCUCAGGCUUCUUUUUCAUUGCAGGUAGGCAGGGUGCUCUGCUUAUGGUGGUCACUUGGAGAUCCCAAAGUGGUUGCUUGCAAAGCCAGAGGGAAAAACAACCUGGGACAGUCUCAGUCUGGCAAUUCCAUGCUCCAGUCAGGAAGAGACACUUGCCCCUUCUACUUCCCACUCAGUGGCCAGAACUGUUCCCAUGGCCCCACCUCACCACAAGGGGGCCACAAAAUGCAACUCUACUUGGUUCCCAGAAGCUAGUGGGACAAAAAAUAGUCGGUAAAUGGCACCAACCAGUAUCACAAAAAGACUAGAAAAUGCAGGUUCUGUUUGGUUGGUUGGUUGGUUUUUUUGUUUGUUUUUUGUUUUCGUUUGUUUGUUUUGAGACGGAGUUUCUCUCUUGUUGCCCAGGCUGGAGUGCAAUGGUGUGAUCUUGGCUCACUGCAACCUCCACCUCCUGGGUUCAAGAGAUUCUCCUACCUCAGCCUCCUGAGUAGCUGGGAUUACAGGCAUGCACCACCAUGCCCAGCUAAUUUUGUAUUUUUAGUAGAGAUGCGUUUCUCCAUGUUGGUCAGGCUGGUCCCAAACUCCCGACCUCAGGUGAUACACCCGCCUCAGCCUCCCAAAGCGCUGGGAUUACAGGUGUGAGCCACUCACCCAGCCUGAAAAUGCAGGUUCUGGAUCUCACUUCUGGAGAUUAUGAUUCAGUAGAUCUGGAUGGGACCUGGAAAUGAAUAUAGCUUUUAAAUUUCCCCAAGAUUUUGGAAUGGGCAGUGUGUUGGGGA